rnacentral:lncRNA from 12 species
AGCCUUCCCUGGAUGCCAGUGACCCACCUAUAAAAUGGGGCCAAUCACACGGCGGAGGGAGGACUCAGGGUGCUGUAGGAGACACACCUGCCUGGGAGGUUGCCAGCACCCUCCCUCACAUGGCUUGUGACCAGCCUCAUAUGUCCGUGCCACAGGUUACCAGGGGGUGCCCAGGAGAUUAUAGAGGGAGGGACAUUCUGGUCCUUGGACAGCCACAACCUGUCUAUAAAGUGAGACCAGAGGACCUGAGAACUCCACUCCGGGAGCUGACUCCCUCUCAGCCAACACCCCCAGAGAAGGCUACACUGUGUCUUUUGUCACUACUGCCCAGGAGGGACAUCCUCUGCCCUUCCCUGCCCAGAGGGUACCCUAAACCCACAAGAAGGCGCUCUCUCCCCUGGGGCCUGCCAGCCCUGUCCUGCAGGGAGAUACUGCCCCGGGGAGGGCAGCAGGCAGGCUGAGGGUAAGUGGCAGCCACCGGGCAGAGCUACGUCCUGGCUGCUCCUCAUAGCUCCCCUGUGCUCUCCUUGGCAGGGCCACAGCACAGGUCCGGGUCUGACCGCCCACCUGGGUGUGGCCUCUUGCCACCUCUUCCCCCAAACCCUAC